rnacentral:rRNA from 1 species
CCUACGGGUGGCAGCAGUGGGGAAUAUUGCACAAUGGGGGGAACCCUGAUGCAGCGACGCCGCGUGGGUGAAGGAGUAUUUCGGUAUGUAAAGCCCUAUCAGCAGGGAAGAACAAUGACGGUACCUGACCAAGACGCACCGGCUAAAUACGUGCCAGGAGCCCCGGUAAUACGUAUGGUGCAAGCGUUAUCCGGAUUUACUGGGUGUAAAGGGAGCGCAGGCGGCGCUGUAAGCCUGGUGUGAAAGCCUGGGGCCCAACCGCGGGACUGCAUUGGGAACUGGCGGGCUGGAGUGGCGGAGGGGUAGGCGGAAGUCCUGGUGUAGCGGUGAAAUGCGUAGAUAUUAGGAGGAACACCAGUGGCGAAGGCGGCAUACUGGACGGUGACUGACGCUGAGGCUCGAAAGCGUGGGGAGCGAACAGGAUUAGAUACCCCGGUAGUC